rnacentral:rRNA from 1 species
GACGAACGCUGGCGGCGUGCUUAACACAUGCAAGUCGAACGGAAAGGCCCUGCUUUUGUGGGGUGCUCGAGUGGCGAACGGGUGAGUAACACGUGAGUAACCUGCCCUUGACUUUGGGAUAACUUCAGGAAACUGGGGCUAAUACCGGAUAGGAGCUCCUGCUGCAUGGUGGGGGUUGGAAAGUUUCGGCGGGUGGGGAUGGACUCGCGGCUUAUCAGCUUGUUGGUGGGGUAGUGGCUUACCAAGGCUUUGACGGGUAGCCGGCCUGAGAGGGUGACCGGCCACAGUGGGACUGAGGUACGGCCCAGACUCCUACGGGAGGCAGCAGUGGGGAAUAUUGCACAAUGGGCGGAAGCCUGAUGCAGCAACGCCGCGUGCGGGAUGACGGCCUUCGGGUUGUAAACCGCUUUCGCCUGUGACGAAGCGUGAGUGACGGUAAUGGGUAAAGAAGCACCGGCUAACUACGU